AAAAUUCCAAGUUUAAUUCAAUGUGUUACAAAUUUACUAGCUAUUCACUACAUCUUCAUUGAAAACAUUAGACAUGAAUUAAAAAUGAGAGGAUCAAUAUUUUACUCUUUGUGUGACGUUUCCCUUUUUUUUUUUAACCAGUUGAUAUUGGAUUAUCACUUUACGUUCAAAUUCGAAAUAUAACAAAAGCCGUUUCUUUAAAAGCAUCAUCCUCGAGGAAGUGACAUCUUUUUUGAAGGAAAAUCUGUAAGUAUUCUCGUGUCACUGGAUCUGAUGAAUUCCUCCUUUCACAUCUCAGGAUUUGUUGUUUUUCUCUGUUCUGUGCUGCUGUUUCUCUGUGCAGGUCUGAAUCUCUGUGGGAUGUUGAUCAAUGAGAGAAGAACAGCCUGAAAACACGUUUCCCAAGAGGAACGGCAGCUUCGAACUGGCAGAUCAAAUGCUGCUGAGGUGUCUUGUGAGAAUGAAUCCUCAAAUUGAAAUAUGACUCUUUUUUUCAGCUCCUCUGACACCGACAAGAUAAACCCUGUUUUCAGACAGACCAGAGCAAAUAGAAGCACCGCUGACAAUAUUUCUAACAAUCAUCCACUUCAAGUGUCCUCGCUGCUGCCAGCGUUACCAUGGAAACCAGCAUCAGCACCGCAACACCGUCCGUCUCGGUCGUCAGCCUGGAGAUCAUGUCUGAGAUCAGUCAGAAAGCGACGCUCGUGACCCCGAGCUCUGGGUCGUCAUGGUGAGGACUGUGGUGAUGCCGAGCGCGACCCGAGCCGGAGCGGCGUCCAUGUUGAUCCAGAAGGAGACCCAGGAGAGGAUGACGAUGAGGAGGCUGGGGAUGUACAUCUGGAUCAGUGUUUGGUGCAGUAGCCCAGGUCCUUCUCGUCUCUGAUGAUGAACUGUGGUAACGUCAGACCAUCAGCCACCUGAACGGGACCUUUAUCAAGCCACUCGAAUAUCAGGUCGUUCAUGGUGUAGCCGACUGUAG